AAACCAUGCGUCGGGCAGUUGCAAAGUAAAUCCUUGAAAUGUUCCCAAGCUUCAUACAAUUUCUUAUUCUCUAUUUGUUUAAAUGAUGUGAUAUCAUUCCUUAGCUU